rnacentral:lncRNA from 1 species
UGGAACAUAGUUAAGCGUUAAUAGUUCGAUAACAUAUCGAAGAUCAUUUUAUAUUUUUAACGAAACGUAAUUUAUAUUUAUAGUUAUAAGUUGUUAUUGUUGUUAAUGUUACUGAUAUAUAAAUUGUCAGAAAUAAAUACUUAUACCCUGAAAAAUAAUCGUGAUUUAUUUAAAAAAUUUUGUUUCAAGUGCGUGAAAUUAAUUACUGAUAAUCUUUUGAACUUCGUGCAUGCUUCUCUCCAAUGAAGUUCCAAGAAGUUUAUAUCUCAAGAAAGAAACAGAAUGGUAUCAAUGAAUCACAUUCCGAACAAUCUUAAGCAAAAUCUUGAAUUUGAAUCUAUGUCAAAGCAAUAAAAACAAUUAUUAGAUACAAUAAUUUAUACAAGGAGAAAUUUCAUAUUCCUUUUGUAAUACAUAUGCAGGAAAAUAAAGUGUAAACAAUUCUUACAUCAAUUCAAACGCGUUUGCAAGAUACGAAAGAUAACGAAUUACGUAUUGCAGUUCAAGAAGUUAAGAAAAUAUGUAAUAGCAGAAUAGAUCAUCUCGUAUGGUUAGAUAUAUAUAGAAUGAAAUUUAAGUUUUUACUUAAAUAAAUCUAGCUAUUUAAAAUAAAUUACCUAAUUAUAAGGACCAAACAUUUAUUGUUACUUAAGAUAUUCAAUAAUACAAAGCCAAACUCAUUAGAAAUAGAAAUAU